AAUGACUACGGCAUCGCUCCUUUCUCCUGAGGGAUCUGAAGGUGUUGUCCGCGGAGCUGCUGUGACGACAACACCCCACAUUGUUCCCCAUACACUCAGCCUCCCUUGCUGUGGGUGAGGCCACGUGGCCAUUUCUGGCCGAUAGACUGCAAGGGGAAAAGCUAUGCCACUUCUACCAAAGCAGGUAGAACAGAGCACAUCUUCACCUUUGUGUCCUGCCCUAUGUGAGGACCUCAGAAUCCUCACACAGGGAGCGUGCAGCUGCUGCUGGUGGAGCCCAGCAGACAGACCCCGAGUGACUGUGGAUUCAUGAGUUUCUGUCAUUAAACAAUGUAAUUUUUUAAUGUGAAAAAUAAAUUGACUGACCCGGGAUUUACACAGAUAUAGAAUUAUCAAAUACAUUUAUAAAUUACUAUACCUGAAUUAGGUAUGUCCAAAAGUUAAGUAGAGACACUCAUGAUAUAUAAAAGACUCAAACCCAACUUCUAGAGGAAAAAAGCUACAACGUUUAAAAU
rnacentral:lncRNA from 1 species